GACGAACGCUGGCGGCGUGCUUAACACAUGCAAGUCGAGCGGUAAGGCCCUUUCGGGGGUACACGAGCGGCGAACGGGUGAGUAACACGUGGGUGACCUGCCCUCAGCUCUGGGAUAAGCCUGGGAAACCGGGUCUAAUACCGGAUAUGACUCCAUGACGCAUGUUGUGGGGUGGAAAGCCUUGUGCGGCUGAGGAUGGGCCCGCGGCCUAUCAGCUUGUUGGUGGGGUGANGGGCCUACCAAGGCGACGACGGGUAGCCGGCCUGAGAGGGCGACCGGCCACACUGGGACUGAGAC
rnacentral:rRNA from 1 species